rnacentral:tRNA from 1 species
CGGGGUGUAGCGCAGCCUGGUUAGCGCGCCUGCCUUGGGAGCAGGAGGUCCCGAGUUCGAAUCUCGGCACCCCGACCA